CCUACGGGAGGCAGCAGUGAGGAAUAUUGGUCAAUGGGCGCGAGCCUGACCCAGCCACGCCGCGUGAAGGAAGAAGGCUCUAUGGUUUGUAAAUUCUUUUUUCAAAGGAGUGUAGCAGACGAUACCUGACGAAUAAUCCACGGCUAACGACGUACCAGCAGCCGCGGUAAUACGUGGGUCGCAGGCGUUGUCCGGAUUUACUGGGUGUAAAGGGCGUGUUGGCGGGUUGACAAGUCAGAUGUGAAAUCUUGCGGCUUAACCGUAGAACUGCAUUUGAUACUGUUGAUCUUGAGUACAGUGGAGGCAGACGGAAUUCGUGGUGUAGCGGUGAAAUGCGUAGAUAUCAGGAGGAACACCAGUGGCGAAGGCAGCUUGCUGGACAGCAACUGACGGUGAGGCGCGAAAGCGUGGGGAGCAAACAGGAUUAGAUACCCCUGUAGUC
rnacentral:rRNA from 1 species